AGUAGGUACACCUAGUUAAUUAUACAAAAACGUAUAGUUGAGCAAAUCCAUCGUCAAACUUUCAAUAAAAAAAGUAAGAAACAACACAAACGAGCAACGAGCACAUUGCACAUUAUUCAUUUUGUCAUAAUGAUAUUCCAGUGUUGUCGAGUGUAACUAUAGUCUACUCUCGGUAUACAACAAUAACAAUUGAAUACGAUGCUGGCAGUGCCGAAAAAGAAAGUGUGCGAAGACGGAGGAAAAAUGACGGAUUUCAUAAAUAUAUGUCGGUGAGCCAACGAACCGAUGGACAAAUUACUCUUACCAUGCAUCGUAUCAAAGCCGAACAUUUGAUUACUCAUUCCGGAUUAAAAUAUGUUUGUCGUGAAUG